GACGAACGCUGGCGGCGUGCUUAACACAUGCAAGUCGAACGGAAAGGCCCUGCUUUUGUGGGGUGCUCGAGUGGCGAACGGGUGAGUAACACGUGAGUAACCUGCCCUUGACUUUGGGAUAACUUCAGGAAACUGGGGCUAAUACGGGAUAGGAGCUCCUGCUGCAUGGUGGGGGUUGGAAAGUUUCGGCGGUUGGGGAUGGACUCGCGGCUUAUCAGCUUGUUGGUGGGGUAGUGGCUUACCAAGGCUUUGACGGGUAGCCGGCCUGAGAGGGUGACCGGCCACAUUGGGACUGAGAUACGGCCCAGACUCCUACGGGAGGCAGCAGUGGGGAAUAUUGCACAAUGGGCGGAAGCCUGAUGCAGCAACGCCGCGUGCGGGAUGACGGCCUUCGGGUUGUAAACCGCCUUCGCCUGUGACGAAGCGUGAGUGACGGUAAUGGGUAAAGAAGCACCGGCUAACUACGUG
rnacentral:rRNA from 1 species